GCGCUCGUAGCUCAAUCGGAUAGAGCAACGGCCUUCUAAGCCGUAGGUUACAGGUUCGAUUCCUGUCGAGCGCGCCA
rnacentral:tRNA from 1 species